GGGCAUUUGGCACAGUGGUAGCGCGCACGCUUCGCAUAACUAGCCACCUGGUUGGGCUUGCGUGAGGUCCAGGGUUCAAUCCCCUGAAUGUCCA